AGGAUGGGGUUUACCGGGAAUUAUGGGGCGUAAGCGCCGCAGGCGGUUUGUUAAGUCAGAAGUGAAUCCCCGUUUACAAACAAGGAACUGCAUCUGAUACUGGCAAGCUUGACUUCCGUAAAGGGGGGUAGAAUUCCAGGUGUAGCGGUGAAAUGCGUAGAGAUCUGGAGGAAUACCGGUGGCGAAUUCCCCCCCCUGGACGAAACUGACGCUCAGGUGCGAAAGCGUGGGGAGCAAACAGGAUUAGAUACCCUGGUAGUCCACGCCGUAAACGAUGUCGACUUGGAGGUUGUGCCCUUCAGGCGUGGCUUCCGGAGCUAACUC
rnacentral:rRNA from 1 species